GAUAGCUUCGUCCUUGCAUUGGAUUGAGAACAAUGUACAACUUCCUUAUCGAUAAGCCAUUGGAGGGCAAGUCUGGUGCCAGCAGCCGCGGUAAUUCCAGCUCCAAUAGCGUAUAUUAACGUUGUUGCAGUUAAAAAGCUCGUAGUUGAAGUGUGGGUGGUGCCUACUUCCAGACUUCGGUUUAGGAGUGGAUCACUACCCCCUUCCAGUAUCCAGUAGUGGGUAUUCAGUUACUUACUAUUGUGUGUUGGUCCUUUACUGUGAGAAAAUUAGAGUGUUCAAAGCAGGCGUUUGCUUGAAUAGAUUAGCAUGGAAUAAUAAUUGAAGGCUUUCGUGUUCGAUUUGAUUGGUUUGUUCAUGGAAGCAAGGUUAAAAGGAACAGUUGGGGGUAUUCAUAUUCACUAGUUAGAGGUGAAAUUCUCGGAUUUAUGGAAGAUGAACAGGUUCCCAAAAACCAA
rnacentral:rRNA from 1 species